CAGAUAUUGUGAUUGCUGAUGCUGGUGGGAACUUCUGAAUCUAUGGUAUUCAUCCAUUGCAGCAUUCUCCACUUCGCGUUUCUGGAGACUUUCCAGGUUUCACAGCCAAACUACAAUAAAGUCAGCACAACAGCUCUGAAGACUUUCAGUUUGGUAAUCGGGCUAAUACUUCUUUCCCAACCUUUUCUUCUGGGCUUCCCAAACACUGAACGAUUCAUGCAUCAACCUUUUCAUCUAUGUGUACAUCCCUUUAUAGUGUACUGCCGAGAGACAUGAAGCCUGGUGGCUAUCAAGGGAGC
rnacentral:lncRNA from 1 species